GUAGUCCACGCCCUAAACGAUGUGCGCUAGCUGUCGGGGGCGAGGCUCUCGGUGGCGCAGCCAACGCGUUGAGCGCACCGCCUGGGGAGUACGGCCGCAAGGUUGAAACUCAAAGGAAUUGACGGGGGCCCGCACAAGCGGUGGAGCAUGUGGUUUAAUUCGACGCAGCGCGCAGAACCUUACCAGCCCUUGACAUGGCGGUUACGGUCCUGGGAGACUGGGGCCAUCGGUUCGGCCGGGCCGUCACAGGUGCUG
rnacentral:rRNA from 1 species